GCGGCCAUGGUUUAGUGGCAGAAUGUGUCCUUGCCAAGGACAAGACGCGAGUUCGAUUCUCGCUGGCCGCA
rnacentral:tRNA from 2 species